rnacentral:rRNA from 1 species
AUACGGAGGGAGCAAGCGUUAUUCGGAAUCACUGGGCGUAAAGGACGCGUAGGCGGGUUUGUAAGUCAGGUGUGUAAUCCUACAGCUCAACUGUAGAACUGCACUUGAAACUACAGACCUAGAGUAUGGAAGGGGCAGAUGGAAUUAGUGGUGUAGGGGUAAAAUCCGUAGAUAUCACUAGGAAUACCGAAAGCGAAGGCGAUCUGCUGGGACAUUACUGACGCUGAGGCGUGAAAGCGUGGGGAGCAAACAGGAUUAGAAACCCUAGUAGUCC